GAAGGCCCCACUGUCUUAAGWGAAUUCCCAGUGAAAUUGAAUUCGUAGUGAAGAUGCUACGUCCAAUUUGUUAGACGAAAAGACCCCAUUGAGCUUUACUGGAGACUUACAUUGCUCGGAUCGACUCUCGCCCCCAGGGGGGGGGUCGAAUUUAAAUGGAUAGCUUAGAUUAUGUGGUGUCAUAACCAUCGAUCAAGUAGUCCCUACGGGAUUGCCCCGAAGGUAGACCUGUUUGGGUGAAUGAAACCCCACUCUUUUAUGUUAAAUGAGCUAACCCUUUCUCUCUUAAGGGGGACAAUGUAAGUUGGACAGUUUGGUUGGGGCGACCGCCUUUUAAAGAGUAACGAAGGUGUGCUUAAGGUACACAAUUAAUAUCAGUAGCCUGACUGCGAGGGGGAUUCCCCCGAGCAGACACCUAAAGUCUUCUCUCUUCCUCCCCGAAGGUUAAAGACGAAUGGUGGGUUAUAGUGACCCGUUAAUUUAGAGUGGAAUAGUUAACGAUCAACAAAUAAAA
rnacentral:rRNA from 1 species